UUCUCUUCCUCAUCUCAAUUUUGAUUAUCGAUCCUUUCAUACAAAAUCAGAUUUUCAAAAUUUCGUUUGCAAAGUCUUGUAUAGCCGCCUUGACAACCCAAUUUUUGGUGGCAAGUUUGGCUUCCGUUGUGGGCACUGUUGGAAGAUGGAUGAAACAUUAAUUAAAAAGGUCAUAAGCUGCGUUGAGUCUCAUUGGUUUCAGCAUCUUCACAUGGAGGUAAACACAAGCUUACCAGACGCACUUCUCAAUAGUAAAUCAAUUGAAACUCUUGAUUUGAAGUGGUUUAAAACUUUACCUCAGUCACUUGCUUCUUUUACAAUGCUGAAUU
rnacentral:misc_RNA from 1 species